GACGAACGCUGGCGGCGUGCUUAACACAUGCAAGUCGAGCGGAAAGGCCCUUCGGGGUACUCUAGCGGCGAACGGGGGAGUAACACGUGAGUAAACUGCCCCAGACGUUGGGAUAACCCUCGGAAACGGGGGCUAAUACCGGAUACGACACAGCUUCGCAUGGGGGCUGUGUGGAAAGGUUGUCGGCGUGGGAUGGGCUCGCGGCCUAUCAGCUUGUUGGUGGGGUGAUGGCCGACCAAGGCGACGACGGGUAGCAGGCCGGCGAGGGGGACCGGCCACACUGGGAGUGAGGCAAGGCGGAGAAUACUACGGGGGGAAGCAGUGGGGAAUAUUGCACAAUGAGGGGAGGACGGAUGCAGGGGCGCUGCGUGGGGGAGGAAGGCGGUCGGGGUGUAAACAUCUUUCAGCAGGGAAGAAGAGUAAGUGACGGUACCUGCAGAAGAAGCGCCGGCUAACUCCGUG
rnacentral:rRNA from 1 species